GAGAGAAGGCGACGGCGUGCCACGUGUCAGCCGGCAAGAGGUCUGCAUGUGCCAAUAACCACCGGACAUGCGUCGAACGCCGCCUGGGGAGACGCAGCUCCAGCCUUCCAGCAACACGCGUCGCAGCCACGCAACCCGAUCCGCGUUCCUCAGCUGACCCAUUACCCGCAUGAUGAAACGAACCGCGACGACCCACAGUCCACCCGAACCAAACCGACGACCCACAGCUGCAGAAAAACGUGUGCGCGUGACACUCGCGCGUGGAACCUGCGAGAUCCUAUUGAGGAAAAAUCAGUACCUUUUGAUACGCUAAUUGUGUGAAAACGCUACAUAAGGGCACGCAUCAUCCAAGUACGUGAGACGUUGGGUCAAGAGAGGGCACAUUGAAAGAUGUGGAAUGUCACAGAGGAAGCGUGUCCCAAGGCGUCAGUCCAAUUUUA